rnacentral:rRNA from 1 species
AUGCACAACACCCAUAUACCAUUUCUCUUCUGCAUAGCGCUUGUAUUCCCUGUGUCUAUGCGGUGUGAGUUGGGAGCAACCAUGGCUGAGUAUGCAGUUGGGCCGCUGAUCUCCAUGCUGAAGGACAAGGUGUCCAGCUACCUUCUGCAGCGCUACAAGGUGAUGGAUGGCAUGGAGGAGCAACGUGAGAUCCUGGAGCGGAAGCUGCCAGCCAUCUUGGACAUCAUGGAAGAUGCGGAGGAGAAAGGAGCUUAUCGACCUGGAGCAAGCGCUUGGCUCAAAGCACUCAAGAAGGUGGCCUGCGAGGCGAAUGAUGUCUUCGAUGAGUUGAAGUACGAGGCUCUCCGGCGCGACGCCAAGGAGAAAGGGCACUACAAGAAGCUUGGCUUUGAUAUGGUAAGCCUGUUCCCUGCGCACAACCCCAUUGUGUUUCGUUACAGGAUGGGAAAGAAGUUGUGCAGGAUUGUGCGCGCCAUUGAGGUCCUUGUCACAGAGAUGAAUGACUUUGGAUUCCAACACCUGCAGCAAGCCCCACCAUCCAAGCAGUGGCGUAUCACGGAUUCGAUACUAAUCGACUCCGACAGGGAUAUUGUUAGUAGGUCCAGAGAUGAAGAGAAGAAAAAGAUCGUGAGUAUAUUGAUUGAUCAAGCUAGCGUUGGGAGGGAUCUCAUUGUCCUUCCUAUUGUUGGAAUGGGUGGGCUGGGCAAGACCACCUUCGCUCAGCUUGUCUACAACGACACUGCAAUCAAGGAGUAUUUCCAGCUCCGGAGGUGGAGUUGUGUGUCAGAUGAUUUUGACGUUGUUAAGAUUGCAAACUGCAUCUGUCAGACCCGUGAGAAAGAUCGUGACAAGGCAUUGCAGGACCUUCAGAAUGAAGUAAGUGGGAAGAGAUACCUUAUUGUGUUGGAUGAUGUAUGGAAUGAAGAUGGUGACAAGUGGGAAAAACUCAGGACCUGCCUGAAGUAUGGUGGCAAGGGUAGUGCAGUACUGAUGACCACUCGUAAAGAAAAAGUAGCUCAAAUUAUGAAGAUGUGUAUUGAUGAUAGUCAUAAUCUCGGAAAGCUAUCUAAAGUAUUUCUGAAGGAAAUAUUUGAGAAUAGAGCAUUCUGUUCGCAAAAGCCAAAUGCUGCUGAGCUAAGUGACAUGGUGGAAAAAAUUCUGGACAGAUGUGGGGGCUCUCCUUUAGCUGCCAAAGCCUUCGGAUCUAUGCUGAGACGAAGACUAGCAUGA